rnacentral:misc_RNA from 1 species
CAAGAAGAGACCCUAACCGGUCCUCUCAACCCUGCCCAUCGUACCUUUUUUGUUUGUUCCCUCGGCGGUGCUCGCGGGCCCGCCGGCGGGAAGACCAAACAAACCCUUUGCAAACAAGCAUAUCGAAUCUCUGAUCAAACAUGAAUUGUCA